rnacentral:misc_RNA from 1 species
UUAGAGUUGCACAAACAUGUCAAACUCACAAGUAAUCUUGGGGAGCCAGUGAAACCUUAUUAAAAGUUUCAUAGGACAAUUUGUUAUUUUGUUUCCAAAUUGGAUGAUGUUCCCAAUAUUGAUAUUCAAGUGAAUUUCUUAGUCUUUAUCUUACAAUAUUGAGUUCUACCAAGAAAUGCCAAAAUUUAAUUGCUGAAUCUCUUGGUGCCACAGGAAUUACUUGACUUAGGUGAGA